rnacentral:rRNA from 1 species
UACGUAGGGGGCAAGCGUUGUCCGGAUUUAUUGGGCGUAAAGAGCGUGUAGGCGGCCUGAAAGGUCAGCUGUGAAAACUCGAGGCUCAACCUCGAGAUGUCGGUUGAAACCAUCUGGCUAGAGUCCGGAAGAGGAGUGUGGAAUUCCCGGUGUAGCGGUGAAAUGCGCAGAUAUCGGGAAGAACACCCGUGGCGAAGGCGGCACUCUGGGACGGUACUGACGCUGAGACGUGAAAGCGUGGGGAGCGAACAGG